rnacentral:rRNA from 1 species
GACGAACGCUGGCGGCGUGCCUAAUACAUGCAAGUCGAGCGCAGGAAGCCGUCUGAACCCUUCGGGGGGACGACGGUGGAAUGAGCGGCGGACGGGUGAGUAACACGUAAAGAACCUGCCCAUAGGUCUGGGAUAACCACGAGAAAUCGGGGCUAAUACCGGAUGUGUCAUCGGACCGCAUGGUCCGCUGAUGAAAGGCGCUCCGGCGUCGCCCAUGGAUGGCUUUGCGGGGCAUUAGCUAGUUGGUGGGGUAACGGCCCACCAAGGCGACGAGGCAUAGCCGAACUGGGAGGGUGAUCGGCCACACUGGGACUGAGACACGGCCCAGACUCCUACGGGAGGCAGCAGGAGGGAAUCUUCCACAAUGGACGAAAGUCUGAUGGAGCAACGCCGCGUGAACGAUGAAGGCUUUCGGGUCGUAAAGUUCUGUUGUAAGGGAAGAACAAGUGCCGCAGGCAAUGGCGGCACCUUGACGGUACCUUGCGAGAAAGCCACGGCUAACUACGUGCCAGCCGCCGCCGUAA